rnacentral:rRNA from 1 species
GACGAACGCUGGCGGCGUGCCUAAUACAUGCAAGUCGAGCGAAUCGGCAGAUGGGUGAGUAACGCGUGUGUAACCUGCCCUUAAGUCUGGGAUACCAUUUGGAAACAGCUUCUAAUCCCGGAUCCUAAAGGAUGGACCUGCGGUGCAUUAGCUAGUUGGUAAGGUAACGGCUUACCACGGCGAUGAUGCAUGGCCGAGUUGGGAGAUUGAUCGGCCACAUUGGGACUGAGACACGGCCCAAACUCCUACGGGAGGCAGAAGUAGGGAAUCUUCCACAAGGGACGAAAGUCUGAUGGGGCAACGCCGCGUGAGUGAAGCAGGUUUUCGGAUCGUAAAGCUCUGUUGUUGGUGAAGCGGUAAUCAACCAGAAAGUCACGGCUAACUACGUGCCAGCAGCCGCGGUAAUAC